CCUACGGGGUGCAGCAGUGGGGAAUAUUGCACAAUGGGGGAAACCCUGAUGCAGCGACGCCGCGUGAGUGAAGAAGUAUUUCGGUAUGUAAAGCUCUAUCAGCAGGGAAGAUAAUGACGGUACCUGACUAAGAAGCCCCGGCUAACUACGUGCCAGCAGCCGCGGUAAUACGUAGGGGGCAAGCGUUAUCCGGAUUUACUGGGUGUAAAGGGAGCGUAGGUGGCAGGGCAAGUCAGAUGUGAAAACCCGGGGCUCAACCCCGGGACUGCAUUGGAAACUGUUGAACUGGAGUACAGGAGAGGUAAGCGGAAUUCCUAGUGUAGCGGUGAAAUGCGUAGAUAUUAGGAGGAACACCAGUGGCGAAGGCGGCUUACUGGACUGUAACUGACGUUGAGGCUCGAAAGCGUGGGGAGCAAACAGGAUUAGAUACCCGGGUAGUC
rnacentral:rRNA from 1 species